ensembl:lncRNA
UGGAAGCAUAAACAGCAGCGAUAAGAUCUGAAGGCUGGGAAGGAGGAUGGUGAGUAGCAGUGACAGGAGGCCUGGCUGCAGCCCACGGGGUCGCAGAGCUGGACACGACUGAGCAACCAGACAACAGCAGUGACUGACAGCUAAGAAGCCUUAAGCAGACAGUGAGGAUUCUAAGAACCAAGGAGCAGAGUCCCCCAGAAGUCUAGGAAUUGGGCUCCAGGCAGGAUGUUGGCAGCAGCCUCGCCUCCAGAAAGACCGACAAAGAUAUUAACAUCAGCAAUUCCCGACUACACAGCCCAGCCAUCAGAAGAAACUGACAAGACAAUCAUCGGAUGCGAGCUCAGCUGAAGCGAAUUGGGAACGAGCUUUCUACAUUCCAG